UGGGGAAUAUUGGACAAUGGGCGAAAGCCUGAUCCAGCAAUGCCGCGUGAGUGAUGAAGGCCCUAGGGUUGUAAAGCUCUUUUACCCGGGAAGAUAAUGACUGUACCCGGGGAGAAUAAGCCCCCGGCUAACUCCGUGCCAGCAGCCGCGGUAAUACGGAGGGGGCUAGCGUUGUUCGGAAUUACUGGGCGUAAAGCGCACGUAGGCGGCUUUGUAAGUCAGAGGUGAAAGCCUGGAGCUCAACUCCAGAACUGCCUUUGAGACUGCAUCGCUUGAAUCCAGGAGAGGUCAGUGGAAUUCCGAGUGUAGAGGUGAAAUUCGUAGAUAUUCGGAAGAACACCAGUGGCGAAGGCGGCUGACUGGACUGGUAUUGACGCUGAGGUGCGAAAGCGUGGGGAGCAAACA
rnacentral:rRNA from 1 species